rnacentral:rRNA from 1 species
CCUACGGGAGGCAGCAGUGAGGAAUAUUGGUCAAUGGGCUUACGCCUGAACCAGCCAAGUCGCGUGAGGGAAGACUGCCCUAUGGGUUGUAAACCUCUUUUGUCAGGGAGCAACGCCGGCUACGUGUAGCCGUACUGAGAGUACCUGAAGAAAAAGCAUCGGCUAACUCCGUGCCAGCAGCCGCGGUAAUACGGAGGAUGCGAGCGUUAUCCGGAUUUAUUGGGUUUAAAGGGUGCGUAGGCGGAAUGCCAAGUCAGCGGUAAAAUCGCGGGGCUCAACCUCGCUCCGCCGUUGAAACUGGCGUUCUUGAGUGAGCGAGAAGUAUGCGGAAUGCGUGGUGUAGCGGUGAAAUGCAUAGAUAUCACGCAGAACUCCGAUUGCGAAGGCAGCAUACCGGCGCCCAACUGACGCUGAAGCACGAAAGCGUGGGUAUCGAACAGGAUUAGAUACCCGAGUAGUC